ensembl:lncRNA
AUGGGAUCAGAAAAAAGAAUGAUGGGACCUCUAAUAAUUAUUCUACUGCUGGCAGAUGGAGUGAUGUCAGCAGAAAAUACAACUGCUGCACUUAAUGCUACAGUGACCGCAACUGCGGUCAACAUGACCUCACCAGGCGUUAACAUGACCACAAUGUCCACCAUGUCACCAUCAGAUGUACCUAUACCUGUCAAUGUAACAGACGCCCCAACUGGGUCAACUAAUGCCACAGCAGCCCCUACAGCAUUCAACAUGACCUCACCAGCAGUCAACAUGACCUCACCAGCAGUCAACAUGACCACAAUGUCCACAAGGUCACCUUCAGAAAAUACCACCUCUCCACUAGUGAAUGGAACAUCACCAAACAUCACAACUGGUUCUCUAGCGACAACCACAGCUGCUCCAGCACCAGACUCAGCGAUACAGCUGAGAUUUAGCCUGAUCGAAACUUUUCAACCAGAACUUGCCGAUACAACUACUCAAAAGUUCAAAGAUUUAGCAAACAGAGUAACAGCCGCACUUGAUAACAUCUAUAGAUCCAGAUUUGGGAAAGGAUUCCUUCGAUCUUUGAUACGCGCUUUCAGAAAAGGUUCAGUGGUGGUAGAGUCUGAGCUGAUUUUUGCCAAUGCCACCUCAGUGCCUGAAGUUAGUGCUGUGCAAACCUCUCUGGCGGAGGCAGCGUCCAAUAGCUCUAACUUCUCGCUGCCAGUGAAUGUGUCAACCAUUGUUGCAAAUGUUCCUACACCUGUCAAUGUAACAGACGGCCCAACUGGGGCAACUAAUGCCACAGUAGCCCCAACAGCAUUCAACAUGACCUCACCAGGAGUCAACAUGACCACAAUGUCCACCAGGUCACCAUCAGAAAAUGCCACCUCUCCACUAGUGAAUGGAACAUCACCAAACAUCACAACUGGUUCUCUAGCGACUAUCACAGAUGCUCCAGCACCAGACUCAACGAUACAGCUGAGAUUUAGCCUGAUCCAAACUUUUGAACCAGAACUUGCCGAUACAACUACUCAAAAGUUCAAAGAUUUAGCAAACAGAGUAACAACCGCACUUGAUAACAUCUAUAGAUCCAGAUUUGGGAGAAGAUUCCUUCGAUCUUUGAUACGCGCUUUCAGACAAGGUUCAGUGGUGGUAGACUCUGAGCUGAUUUUUGCCAAUGCCACCUCAGUGCCUGAAGUUAGUGCUGUGCAAACCUCUCUGGCGGAGGCAGCGUCCAAUAGCUCUAACUUCUCGCUGCCAGUGAAUGUGUCAACCAUUGUUGCAACUGUACCUACAUCUGUCAAUAUAACAGCGGCCCCAACUGGUGUCACCAAUGCCACAGCGGCCCCAACUGCAGCUCCUGUUGCUACAGAGGCCCCUGCAUCCACUGAUCCCCCAACAUCCAGUGAGGGAACCCUUCGCCUUCUGUUCAGUCUCAACCGAACAUUCACAUCCGACCUGUCAAACCGAUCCUCAGCAGCGUUUAAGACGUUGGCUGCUGAAGUCAUCCAAGAGAUUAACCGAGUGGCCAGGAUUAUCUAUGCAUCGUCUUUCAGACGCACCCUCAUUAACAAUUUCACGAGUGGAUCAGUAAAGGUUGACACCACACUUGUGUUCCAAGAUAAGAGCUCAGUUCCUCAAGCAAGCACUGCGACUGCACAAUUCAUCAGUUUGCUCUCCAAUUCUUCCCUCGGCAUCGUACCCGGCAGCAUUUCUGCACAGUCCACAUCAACUUCAGGCAGCCCCCCCCCAUGGCCACAAUGGGCUCACUGGCAGUCUUUUCACUUACACUGCUGGCUGUAGCACAGAUGCUAGUCACCCUGUAACAGACACUGAAGGUAACAUUCAAAUAAUGCAUAAUGAAAUCUAUCAAAGCAGCGUCAUUUGGUAAAAAGAUGUGUAUUAUUUGUCAAAGAUUGAGGCAGUUUUUCCAUGAUAUUAUGCUGGAAUUACAUGUGUUAUAAUUUCAUAAAAAGA